CGUUCAAGUUUCUGCCCCUAUCAACUCACGAUGUUAGUGUAUUGGACUACCAUGGUCUUAACGGGUGACGGAGAAUUAGGGUUCGAUUCCGGAGAGGGAGCCUGAGAGACGGCUACCACUUCCAAGGAAGGCAGCAGGCGCGCAAAUUACCCAAUCCCGAUACGGGGAGGUAGUGACAAUAAAUAACAAUACAGGCCAUUUCUAAUGUCUUGUAAUUGGAAUGAGUACAAUCCAAACACCUUAACGAGGAACAAUUGGAGGGCAAGUCUGGUGCCAGCAGCCGCGGUAAUUCCAGCUCCAAUAGCGUAUGCUAAAGUUGUUGCAGUUAAAAAGCUCGUAGUCGGAUCUCGGGUGAGGUGGCGCACUGAACGGCGGAAGGGAACCGGAACCGCGAUUGCGUCGCGCAGCAAUGUUUGGGGAAUGGUCCGCCGGGAGUGGCGAGUACCAGCCCACUCACCCUAGCGGUGGUGGAAGGGCGGUUGAGGGAACCGAGACCUCACCCGGUCUCGCCACUAACAAUAGG
rnacentral:rRNA from 1 species